ensembl:lincRNA
UGUGCACAGCCACGUGUUUUAGCUCGGAGUCUGGGUCUGGGAAUACACCGGAGUUGGCUAGCGCUCCUGCCCCCGCCUCAGGCUCCUCCACACAGGCGGUUCACCACGGCAGCGUCUAUCCAGCGCUCACUGUGGUCAGAGACCCCCAGGCCGUGGGAUGAGUCACAGUCUCAUCACCCAAGAAGCGCUCUGGCUAUCAAGGGGAACACGAGGCUUCAGUGACAGUCUUGAGCUCCCACAUGGGACAUGCUUUGGCUAGAGCGGAACUCGAAAUGGUACCGAGAAUCCAGGACAUGUGCCAAUUAUAACACCACGCUGAGAGCCAUAGAAUCGCGAUUUGUUAGAAAGAAUUUAUAAAAACACACAUGAAACUGGGCAUGGUGGUGCACGCCUAUAAACCCAGCACACCGAAGGCUGAGGCAGGAAGAUUACAGCAAGUUCAAACCCAGCCUGGGUUGCACAGUUCAAGGCCAUCCUGAACUAUAUAUAGCAUGACCCUGUCUCAAAAAUAAAUAGAUAAAUGAUAAAUAAAGACACAGGUGAGAAAACAAUUGUUUCCAACAGAGAACCGAGAGGUGUGAGAUCUUCAUAUUUUGCCCUUGUCUGAUUAUUCUGAGGACAAAAAGGGACGCUUUGGGAUCUACAAGGCCAGACAUUCAUGACUGUCACAGUCUUCUUGUGUCUGGGUCAGAGCUUUAGCUCCUUCCGCGAGGAAGAGCAUUCUUACCAUCAGAAUGGCCCUCGUCCCACCAACUCAGCAAUCAGCUCAACAAGCACACAUCAACCCCUUAUUCUUUUUCUGCUCUACUUAGGAACCCAGCGUAUUAAUGGCCACAGAGUGGUCUAUUCUCAUUCAUAUUCUUUCUUUCUUUCUCUCUCUCUCUCUCUCUCUCUCUCUCUCUCUCUCUCUCUCUCGCUCUCUGAGACAGGGUCUUGCUCUGCACUCCAGGCCGGCCUUGAACUCACUAUGUAGCCCCGGCUGGCCUCGAUCUCGCCGCGAUCCUCCCGCCUCAGCUUCUCCAGUGCUGGGAUUACAGGCGUGCGCCACCGCACCUGGCUUACCCUCCAAGAGAAACCCUUGCCUGCCACUGCUGCUGCUCAGAUCCAUUCACGCGCUCAGUCACUCACUCCAUGCGGUCCUCAGCAUCCUUGGGUACCAUGGCUUAGGUGCCGCCCGCGAAACGGCGCAGUAGUAACACAGAACCUCCGGGCCUCCUCCCGUGCACUGCAGCGUCUCGAUGACCCGCAAUGCCUGACACGAUGCAAGCGCUCAGAAGGACAAAAGGCUGGUACGCUUUAUCGCAUAAGGAGCAAUGGCUGCGCAGGGAACACGUCUGCGCAUGCUCAGUACGGACACACCUUCUUCCCCAAGUAUUUCCACACGCAGCUGGCUGACCAGGGCGGGCGUCCGUGCGGGGGCAGACUGCACGCUCCGAGCCUGGCCUGGCUGGCGCCGUGUGGCUGUGUGAUGCCACCCAGACCCCGGUGCGCCCUGCUGCCGAAGCCACUACCAUGCCCCCUGCAGCACAGCCUCCUGGGACCCUGCGGGCUGCGGAGACCUCGCCGCAGGGCAGUGGGCUCGGGCUCCACCCCGGGCACGGGCCUGGCGUUACUGCUGUCCCCAAAGCUCUUUCCAGCAGGGUAACGGAGAGUUUGCUUGUUUGUUUGUUUGUUUUCUCUCUCGGAUCUUUUUCCCACGCAGCAGCCCUUAGCCUGACUCUUCUCUCUUUCCUGAAGUUUCCCUGGGAAUUUACAUUGCUCAUAUUUUUGUUAUUAAAGCAGUGCGGUUCUGUCCCUGCCUCUUCCCCCAAAUAGCACACUCAAUCCAUCGGGGCUCAAGAAAACAAAGGCCUAGCAGGCGGCCACCCGUGCUAGUGCUCAGAAGGGUCUCCUCGUCUUGCCCGAACCCUCCUCCCAAAGGAUUUGCCUUUUUCUUUCUUUUUUUUUUUUUCCUUUCACAAGGCUGAGCACUGAAUCCAAGGCCUCAGCACUGAGCUACAUCCCCAGCCCUUUUUAUUUUAAGACACAACUUCCAUAAAUGGCCCAGGCUGGGCUCCCACUUGCAAUCUUCCUGCCUCAGCCUCCCAGAGUGCUAGGAUUACAGGUACGUGCCACUGUGCCCAGCUGGAUUAGCCAUUCUUAUAACAGCUACUACAAGAAUAAAAAUAUUUCUCGCUCACCCAGUACUGAAAGUCGAUAGAAAAUCACCCAAGAUAUGAGGUCAAUGAUUAAAACACUACGGGUAACUUCUGACUGGGAUCACCCGGAAAGGACGUAUAGAGGUGUUUUAGUUCAGUCUCGCUGGGUUUUGUGCUACUGGGGGAGGGUGGCUGAAAAAUGAUACAUACUGCAACCCUUUCUGGGUAGCUCACAGUGGCUUUUUAACUAUUUGGGACCCCGAGGAGCGUUAAGAGAGGGAAAACAAAAACUCCUUUGGCUUUGUUUUACUGAAGUGUUUUUAAUCAUUGACUCUAGAUCCUCUUCUCCUAUC